rnacentral:pre_miRNA from 1 species
UGAGGUAGUAGGUUGUAUAGUUUUAGGGCUCUGCCCUGCCUGUCACAUAACUAUACAAUCUACUGUCUUUC